GGGAGUUCAGAUAUCUCUUCAAUACACUGAUUUUUAUUCCUUUGGAUUUGUACCCAGAUGUGGAGAUGCUGGAUAACAAGGACCAGGAAGCCCAUGAUUGACUUGGGCUUUAAAAAUUUACAUCUGCAGCAAGGAAGAAGAGGGAGAAGGAUCAAGUUGUGUCUGUUCCACCCUUGAAAUGCAUUCCACUAAGGAAGAAAUCAUGACAAAGUUUUAGUCACUAGCUUCAAGAAGCAUCCAAGAUACUUGGAGGAUAAAAUCAGAGAAACACACACAUCUCUGAGAUCCUCACUAUGGUGCGAUGAAGGCCAUAAGGAACGUGUAGAGCAACACACUAGGGGCUGAGAAGAUCUGGAGAGACCUGGUUUGGGCCACCUGGUGGAAAAGCAAAAGCAGGUUCAUCGAAGAGAAACUACAACAAAGCCUUGUGCCCAUGCAUUCCUCUUGCUCCUCCCACCUUCUGAGGGGCCCUGGUGCUUUCCUGCAUAGCCCUGCAUGGAGUGGGUGCCUCUCCUUUCGGGAACUGAUCAUCUGCCAAAAAUGUAGACAGAAGACCAGGAAAAGAGCCUUUAUGAAAGUGAAUACGAAGUCUUAGAAAUUGAUCAGCCCUGAAAGAUGUCACAACCUGAACAUGUAUUAAGAUUCCAUCUCCCAUGAAAAGAAGUAAAAGAGUUACUGAUGAACAUGUGCCUCUUGGGAUGCUUUCAAACUUCAUUCUGCUGCCGGGCAUUGUUUGCAGAGAAAAAAAUAACUUUUUAGAUGUCACAUAUGAAAGAAAUAAAAGAUCAUGUUCUACAUCCUUAUUCUAAUUUCUGCUGCAAAUCAGCCGGGCUGUUUACAUGGGCUCUGCCCUCCAGCGUGGCGUCACAUUCACGUCUGAUUUCAGCACUGAUUCUGAAGAUGCAUGUCUGAGUGCGACCCCCCCUAAAGCCAGGAACGUGCUGUCUUGAGCAGUCAGCCUGCGCCUGGUGCCUGGACCCCUUUCCUGGGGGGACGGAGAGCUGCUACAUGUUCCAGUGGAUUUGUCCUUUCCGAAUCAGUAAUCAUUCUGGAUGGAUGUGAUUUUAAACACCUAAUAGUUUCAACUCCUAAUGGGCUGUGUGACCUUCUGCCAGUGACUCGACCUUCCUGGACAUCAGUUGAACCCUAUAUUUUGUGAGGUCUUAACCAUAACCAUGCGGUCCACGGAAUGAGGCUCACAGUCUGAUCAGUGCGGGUUUCCCAUAAAACCGGCUCUUCCCGUCCACGCAGCACGGAAUCUGCAGGCGCUCGCACUGCGGCUGCGCGGCGCUGCCCGGCCUUCUGCAGGGCUCAGAGGAGCUCGCCGUAGGGAAGGAAAGGUCGAGUGGUUUUUAAUCUCUCAUUGCUGAAAUCCAGGACAUGGGAUGUGUACAAAUCAGCAGUGUCAUAAAACUGUUUGUGUGACUCCGCGUGGCAUGUACGUUUAUAUCAAAUGUGCAACUUGGAUUUGUUUUCUGCACAAAGUGCUUAUCAUUUCUUGAAUUACAGAGCUAUCAGAAGGAAUAGAACGCUCCUUGCCUGGUUGUUCUCCUGUGUAUCAGCGUCAGGGGCAACUUUCACUCAGGCCCUUUCCAUUCCUCCGUCUGACUGUGCUCUGAGCACACCUCCAAGCCCGAGUCCCGGUGGUGGCUGUCUCCCACCAGUCGCGCUGGGACAAGCUGUCGACAUGCCCUAGCUAAGGAGACGCUUCACGUCUUUCCCAUCCCCUUCACGGGCUUUAGUUCUUGGUUGUGGAAGUCCUCUGACGAGAUCCAGUUUGCUCCUUUCAGACGGAAGGACGGAGGGAAGACAUUUCAGUUCCUGAAGAAAGUACACGAUCCAACCACAAAUCCAACCGGCUUUAACAUUGUUGAUUCCUUUCACCACUUACAUAGGUUUCCAAAAUAAUUUUAGUUUCUUCCUUUGCAAACAAGUAGCAAUUAUAGACAAUUAAAGAACACAUAGGUUCAGCAAUCAAUUUCAAAGAAGAAAGAUCAUCAUUCUCAAAACAAAAACGGAUACUAGUAAAGAAAGCUCUGAAAAUUAGUUCAACACUGCAAUAUGAAUUGUGGGACAGA